GCAACUGGAAAUUGUGUCAGCAGCCGCGCGGUAAUACAGAGGCCCCAAGCGUUACCCGGAAUCACUGGGCGUAAAGCGUGUGUAGGUGGUCAUAUUAGUCUUCCGUUAAAACCCGGUGCUCAACGCCGGAGGUGCGGAAGAAACGGUAUGACUAGAAGGCGUCAGAGGUACAUGGAACUCUAAGUGUAGGGGUGAAAUCCGUUGAUAUUUAGGGGAACACCGAAAGCGAAGGCAAUGUACUGGGGCGUUCUUGACACUGAAACACGAAAGCGUGGGUAGCGAACGGGAUUAGAUACCCCGGUAGUCCACGCCCUAAACUAUGUCAACUGGCUUUUCGGAGUAUCGACCCCCUGGGAGGCGAAGCUAACGCGUUAAGUUGACCGCCUGGGUAGUACGGCCGCAAGGCUAAAACUCAAAGGAAUAGACGGGAGCUCGCACAAGUGGUGGAGCGUGUGGCUCAAUUCGUCGCUAAGCGAAGAACCUUACCAGGGUUAGAAAUCCUACUGCACGUCCUAGGAAACUAGGAAAGCCUUCGAGGGUGUAGGACAGGUGAUGCAUGGCUGUCGUCAGUUCGUGGUUUGAAUCGUUCCCUUCAGUGGGGUAACGAACGCAACCCCCGUUGCCAGUUACAAGUGUCUGGCGAGACUGCCCCCUCACGGGGGAGGAAGGUGGGGAUGACGCCAAAGUCCGCAUGUCCCUCUGAUAUCCUGGGGCUGCACACGCGCUACAAUCGCCGUUACAAAGGGACGCAAUACCGUAAGGUGGAGCAAAAUCCCAAAAAGCGGCGCCAGUUCGGAUUGAGGUCUGCAACCCGACCUCAUGAACCCGGAAUCACUAUUAAUCGUGGGGUCAGCCACACCACGGUGAAUACGUUUCUCGAGCUUGGCACACACCGCCCGUCAAAUCGAUGACGCCUGAAUGCGGUUAUUUUUCCUCUUACGCAACUGUGCCGUAAUUCAACCGCAAUUGUGCACUCUCAGUUACAUCUGGUCUGAAGUGCUCGAUGAUAUAGCCAUGCUUGUAAACGCGC
rnacentral:rRNA from 1 species